rnacentral:rRNA from 1 species
AUUGAACGCUGGCGGCAUGCUUUACACAUGCAAGUCGAACGGCAGCGCGGGCUUCGGCCUGGCGGCGAGUGGCGAACGGGUGAGUAAUACAUCGGAACGUGCCCAGUAGUGGGGGAUAGCUCGGCGAAAGCCGGAUUAAUACCGCAUACGACCUGGGGGUGAAAGCGGGGGAUCUUCGGACCUCGCGCUAUUGGAGCGGCCGAUGGCAGAUUAGCUAGUUGGUGGGGUAAAGGCCUACCAAGGCGACGAUCUGUAGCUGGUCUGAGAGGACGACCAGCCACACUGGGACUGAGACACGGCCCAGACUCCUACGGGAGGCAGCAGUGGGGAAUUUUGGACAAUGGGCGAAAGCCUGAUCCAGCAAUGCCGCGUGUGUGAUGAAGGCCUUCGGGUUGUAAAGCACUUUUGGCGGGAACGAAAAGGACUGUGCCAAUACCACGGUUCGAUGACGGUACCCGCAGAAUAAGCACCGGCUAACUACGUG